GAUGAACGCUGGCGGCGUGCCUAAUACAUGCAAGUCGAGCGAACGGACGAGAAGCUUGCUUCUCUGAUGUUAGCGGCGGACGGGUGAGUAACACGUGGAUAACCUACCUAUAAGACUGGGAUAACUUCGGGAAACCGGAGCUAAUACCGGAUAAUAUUUUGAACCGCAUGGUUCAAAAGUGAAAGACGGUCUUGCUGUCACUUAUAGCUGGAUCCGCGCUGCAUUAGCUAGUUGGUAAGGUAACGGCUUACCAAGGCAACGAUGCAUAGCCGACCUGAGAGGGUGAUCGGCCACACUGGAACUGAGCCACGGUCCAGACUCCUACGGGAGGCAGCAGUAGGGAAUCUUCCGCAAUGGGCGAAAGCCUGACGGAGCAACGCCGCGUGAGUGAUGAAGGUCUUCGGAUCGUAAAACUCUGUUAUUAGGGAAGAACAUAUGUGUAAGUAACUGUGCACAUCUUGACGGUACCUAAUCAGAAAGCCACGGCUAACUACGUG
rnacentral:rRNA from 1 species